rnacentral:rRNA from 1 species
UACGUAGGGGGCAAGCGUUGUCCGGAAUCAUUGGGCGUAAAGCGCGUGUAGGCGGCCAGAAAAGUCCGCUGUGAAAACUCGAGGCUCAACUUCGAGCUGUCGGUGGAAACUUUCUGGCUAGAGUCCGGAAGAGGAGAAUGGAAUUCCUGGUGUAGCGGUGAAAUGCGCAGAUAUCAGGAGGAACACCAAUGGCGAAGGCAGCUCGCUGGGACGGUACUGACGCUGAGACGCGAAAGCGUGGGGAGCAAACAGG